GGCCUCGUGGCUUAGUUGGUUAAAGCGCCUGUCUAGUAAACAGGAGAUCCUGGGUUCGAAUCCCAGCGAGGCCU
rnacentral:tRNA from 2 species